rnacentral:rRNA from 1 species
GAUGAACGCUAGCUACAGGCUUAACACAUGCAAGUCGAGGGGCAGCACAAGGCAGCAAUGCUGAGGUGGCGACCGGCGCACGGGUGCGUAACGCGUAUCCAACCUUCCCGUUACUCAUGGAUAGCCUUCCGAAAGGGAGAUUAAUACAUGAUGGUGUUGAAAUUCCGCGUGUUAUUUCAACUAAAGAUUUAUCGGUAACGGAUGGGGAUGCGUGACAUUAGAUAGAUGGCGGGGUAACGGCCCACCAUGUCUACGGUGUCUAGGGGGUCUGAGAGGAAGGUCCCCCACACUGGAACUGAGACACGGUCCAGACUCCUACGGGAGGCAGCAGUGAGGAAUAUUGGUCAAUGGCCGGAAGGCUGAACCAGCCAAGUAGCGUGAAGGAUGAAGGUUCUAUGGAUUGUAAACUUCUUUUAUACGGGAAUAAAACCUCCCACGUGUGGGAGCUUGUAUGUACCGUAUGAAUAAGCAUCGGCCAACUCCGUGCCAGCCGCCGCAGUAACAC